rnacentral:rRNA from 1 species
ACAUACGACCAUAGACUCAAGAGAAUUGGGCAUCCCGUCCGCUCUGCCAUACACAAGCUUGAGAUCGGUGGAUUAGUAGUUGGGUGGGUGACCACCAGCGUAGUUGGGUGGGUGAGAUCGGUGGAUUAGUAGUUGGGUGGGUGACCACCAGCGAAUACCCACUGUUGUAUGUU